GACGAACGCUGGCGGCGUGCUUAACACAUGCAAGUCGAACGCUGAAGCUCAGCUUUUGUUGGGUGGAUGAGUGGCGAACGGGUGAGUAACACGUGAGUAACCUGCCCCCUUCUUUGGGAUAACGCCCGGAAACGGGUGCUAAUACUGGAUAUUCACUGGUCUUCGCAUGGGGGUUGGUGGAAAGGGUUUUUCUGGUGGGGGAUGGGCUCGCGGCCUAUCAGCUUGUUGGUGGGGUGAUGGCCUACCAAGGCUUUGACGGGUAGCCGGCCUGAGCGGGGGACCGGUCACAUUGGGACUGAGAUACGGCCCAGACUACUACGGGAGGCAGAAGUGGGGAAUAUUGCACAAUGGGCGCAAGACUGAUGCAGCGACGCCGCGUGAGGGAUGGAGGCCUUCGGGUUGUGAACCUCUUUCGAUAAUGGUCAAGCCGCAACAAUGGUUGUGGUGAGGGUAGUGGGUAAAGAAGCGCCGGCUAACUACGUG
rnacentral:rRNA from 1 species